rnacentral:rRNA from 1 species
AUGAGAACCUUAUUUUGGAACUGUCGGGGGAUUGGCGAUCCCGCGACAGUUCGUGAGCUCCGAGAGCUCAUCUUGGAAUGUGCGCUGGCGGUGGUAUGUAUUGCAGAGACACACUUGUCGAAACAAAGGGUGGAAGGCCUGAUGGGGACGUUAGGUUUUGAAGGUGGUUUUGCUGUUGCAAGUAGCGGAAGGAGUGGUGGUAUUGGUUUGUUCUGGAGGCACGGUCUGAAUUUGGAGGUGAAGAAUUUUUCACGAUACCAUAUUGAUGCUUGGGUGGCGAAGGAAGGGAAGGAGGAUUGGAGGCUCACAUGUUUUUAUGGGGAGGCCAACCGAAGUCUUAGGCAGAACACAUGGGACACCAUGACUCGACUAAGGAGCGAAUCAACGCUACAAUGGGUAUGCAUUGGUGACUUUAACGAAGUCCUAAGGAGGGAGGAGCAGAUGGGGCCCAAUGAGAGAGAGGUGUCACAAAUGACGGGGUUCAGGGAGGCGGUUGAUCUAUGCUGUCUGAAUGAUCUGGGGUAUAUUGGCUUGGACUGGACCUUUGAAAGGAGAUUGUUGGAGGAAAUUUUUGUAGAGUGCGCUUGGGCAGGGCGUUGGCCACGGCAGAGUGGAGCGCUAGAUUCCCUUUUGCAUCCCUUCGACACUUAG